rnacentral:rRNA from 1 species
GCUAUACUGCAAGUCGGACGGGAUCCAUCGGAGAGCUUGCUCAAAGAUGGUGAGAGUGGCGCACGGGUGCGUAACGCGUGAGCAACCUACCUCUAUCAGGGGGAUAGCCUCUCGAAAGAGAGAUUAACACCGCAUAAUAUAAUUUUCCGGCAUCGUGAAAUUAUUAAAUAUUUAUAGGAUAGGGAUGGGCUCGCGUGACAUUAGCUAGUUGGUAGGGUAACGGCUUACCAAGGCGACGAUGUCUAGGGGCUCUGAGAGGAGAAUCCCCCACACUGGUACUGAGACACGGACCAGACUCCUACGGGAGGCAGCAGUAAGGAAUAUUGGUCAAUGGGCGGAAGCCUGAACCAGCCAUGCCGCGUGCAGGAUGACUGCCCUAUGGGUUGUAAACUGCUUUUGUCCAGGAAUAAACCCAGGUACGUGUACCUGGCUGAAUGUACUGGAAGAAUAAGGAUCGGCUAACUCCGUGCCAGCAGCCGCGGUAAUACGGAGGAUCCGAGCGUUAUCCGGAUUUAUUGGGUUUAAAGGGUGCGUAGGCGGCCUAUUAAGUCAGGGGUGAAAUACGGUGGCUCAACCAUCGCAGUGCCUUUGAUACUGAUGGGCUUGAAUCCAUUUGAAGUGGGCGGAAUAAGACAAGUAGCGGUGAAAUGCAUAGAUAUGUCUUAGAACUCCGAUUGCGAAGGCAGCUCACUAAGCUGGUAUUGACGCUGAUGCACGAAAGCGUGGGGAUCGAACAGGAUUAGAUACCCUGGUAGUCCACGCCCUAAACGAUGAUAACUCGAUGUUGGCGAUAGACAGCCAGCGUCCCAGCGAAAGCGUUAAGUUAUCCACCUGGGGAGUACGCCCGCAAGGGUGAAACUCAAAGGAAUUGACGGGGGCCCGCACAAGCGGAGGAGCAUGUGGUUUAAUUCGAUGAUACGCGAGGAACCUUACCCGGGCUUGAAAGUUAGUGAAGGGAGCAGAGACGCUUCCGUCCUUCGGGACACGAAACUA